GAAUUUAAUACUAUAGCCAUAUUUCACUAUAAUGAUCACAUCAGACGGUCAAAUUUUUAUUUUGUGAAUUUUAGUCAUUGGAUUGCAACGUGCCUACUAAUGUAGUAUAACUUGUUUAAUAGGUUAUAGACAAUUGUACAACUUUGUAAACCAACUAUACAGAUAAAGAAAAAUUUAAAAAAAAACUCAUGGAAUAAGAUGUGAUCGAAAUAAUGAAAUACGAUAAUGGUUGAAAAAUCACGUACAUCGGGUAACGUCUAGGUCCCGAUAGAAGCGGUCAACCAUUUUUACGCUUAAUAUAUCCUAUGAGAGCCCUAUCGUCGGGACGUAAACGUCUCCAAAUUUUUACAUGGGUGGUUACGUCUCAUCUAUGUGAGAGUUUAACGUGUGGAAGGAUCGAUCAAACUAGGUCACAAAAAGGUAGGUAAGAGCGUUUCCGUGUGAUAAAUGACGAUGAAUUAGGGUUGACCACUUCGAUUGAGCCCCAAACGUUGCCGAAUACAAUUGAAAUUAAUACCAUAGCCAUGUUUCACUAUAAUGAUCACAUCAAACGGUCAAAUUUUCAUUAUGUAAAUUUUAAUCAUUAGAAUUGCAACAUGCCUACUAAUGUGUUAUAACUCGUUUAAUAUGUUAUAUUCACUAUGUACAACUUUGUCAACCAACUAUACAGAGAAAGCAAAAAUUUCAAAAAAUUUUCAAUUGAAAAUAAGAUUUGAUUGGAAUAAUGAAAUACGACUAUGGUUGAAAAAUCACGUACAUCGGGUAACGUCUGGGUUCCAUUAGAAGCGGUCAACCUUUUUUAUGCUUACGGGAGCCCUAUCGUUAGGACGUAAACGUCUCCAAAUUUUUACAUGGAUGGUUAAGUCCCAUCUAUAUGAGAGUUUAACGUGUGGAAUGAUCGACCAAACUAGGUCACAGAGAGGCAGAUAAGAGCGUAUCCGUGUGAUAAGUGACGAUGGAUUAAGAUUGACCGCUUUGAUCGAGCCCCGAACGUUGCCGAAUAUAGUUGAAUUUAAUACUAUAACCAUGUUUCACUAUAAUGAUCACAUAAAACGGUCGAAUUUUCAUUUUGUGAAUUUUUGUUAUUGAAAUCGUAAUGUGCCUACAAAUGUGGUAUAUAUUUUUCUUUUAUUUUAUUAUUGAGUGAUUUGUCAUUAUACAAAAGUUUUUUCUUUCCUUAUUAUUAGCAUUUAGUCUUUAGAUAAUCACAAUCAACCACCCUAUGUGGACUAAGUCAACGCCCUCAUCAUCCAAUUGCAUACAACGAUACAAAAC
rnacentral:lncRNA from 1 species